UACAUGACACGUAUUCUCAUUUUCAUUUCGCGCAGUUUAUUUUCAUAAAAUAUCUUUAUACUCUCAUUUAGAAUCACGAUGUAGAUCCAUAUGAAGAAAAUUUGCAGUUUCUUCGGCAGCGGUGCAUCACUCCGUAUGGACUGAAGAUUGACACAACUCGGUUUCCCGGGAACAGUCGAUGAUUACAGUAUUUUAAUAAUUUCAUUCUGAAGCGCAAAGAAGACGAAUGAAGAAAUAAGAGCUAGCUGUUUCUUCGGCAGUGAUGGUGUACGCGUUUGAACUGUAAAUGUGGUACAGCUCGAUUUCGCCGAACAGCGUCGAAGAAUACUUACAAUCACGAUUGAGAUCGAUAUGAAGAAAAUUUGCAGUUUCUUCGGCGGCGGUGCACUACUACGUAUAGUCUGAAGAUUGACACAACUCGGUUUCACGGGAACAGUCGACGCUUAAAUCUUGCCAUAAUAUCGAAAAAACAAAAUAAACUGAAAUAAUUAUGCUAUAUGUCAACCCGGAGGACGAUUGGCAGUAUCAUUAAGAAGCUCAUCUGGAUAACAAAAAUAAAUGUCACAAGGCUGUGUUUGUUUAAUACUAUAAUUUUUUGAACAGUAGUACAGUAUAUUAUGAAUAUUUACUUAAAUUAUAAUUUAAAUAUAUCUAUUUAUAUAUUUUAAUAUAUAUAUUUAAUUUUUAUGGUUUUUUUUUUCAGAUAAUAUACUGUACUACGGUUUUAGGUGUUCUUUUUAUUUUAAUAAUACGUUGAUAAAUUACUAAUUUUUUAAUUUUUUUUUCUUAUCACAAAGCUAGUUCGUCUUUGUGUAUGUUUAAAUUUAUAUUUUUUUAUAGUUAUUGUGCUGUUUAACUUUCUUAUAAAAGAGAGUGAGGAAUUAAAAAGGUGGCCACCGAACAGAAAGUUAAACUGCAAUAUACUAUAAUCUUUUUAGUUCAUGUUUACAUUUUUAACUGAUAAAUUAUGAAUAUAAAAUUUCAAAUUAAUUUAAAUUCAAAAAUAAAAGAACACCAACAUAGAUUUCUUAAACAUUAAAAUUUUACUAUAAAUUUAAAUUACAUUUAAUCAGCACAUUAUUUGAAGUUUUAUAGGAACCGAACAUUUGCCUGGAUCAUGGACUACCCACCGACGGAGAAUUUGUCAUUGAGCUGAAGGAAAAUGUGUCAGCACUCGGCUUCGUUUCAACCCGGAGGAAGAUUGGCAGCAUCAAUAAGAAGCUCAUCUUAAUGUCAACUGUCCAAAGGAUUUUGAAGAAGAAUUUGUCAUUGAGCUGAUGGAAAAUGUGUCAGCACUCGGCUGUAUUUCAACACGGAGGACGUCUAGCAGCAGCAAAAAGAAAUUCAACUGAUAAUCAACUGCCCAAAGGAUUUUGAAGAAGAAUUUGUCAGAAAGCUGAUGGGAAAUGUGUCGGCACUCGUCUUCGUUUCAACCCGGAGGAAGAUUGGCAGCAUCAAAAAGAAGAUCACUUAAUUUAGUUGUCCCCCCUUUACGCAUUAGCGCUCAUCUCUCAUCCACUCAUCCAACACAUUGACUACGCCGGCCGGCAACACACAUAUAUUAUACACAUUACCCGUUUUAUAUUAUAUAGUAUUAUUAAUAUCCACAUAGUUUAAGUUAUUGUAUAUUUUUUUUUUUUUUUUGAAUGCAUUCAUAUGAUCAGUGGCGUAUUUAGGAAUUUUAUGAUAAACAACACAUAUUUUGCAG